AUACUCACUUUGUCAGCAUAUAUACUAAAAUUGGAACACAGAGAAGAUUAGCAUGGCCCUUGUGCAAAGAUGACACAUAGAUUCAUAGAGCAUUCCAUAUUUGG
ensembl:snRNA U6 U6 spliceosomal RNA